rnacentral:misc_RNA from 1 species
AAGUCGUAACAAGGUCUCCGUUGGUGAACCAGCGGAGGGAUCAUUACCGAGUUUACAACUCCCAAACCCAAUGUGAACGUUACCAAACUGUUGCCUCGGCGGGGUCACGCCCCGGGUGCGUAAAAGCCCCGGAACCAGGCGCCCGCCGGAGGGACCAACCAAACUCUUUUAUGUAGCCUUCGGGCGUUAUUUCUUACAGCUCUGAGCAAAAAUUCAAAAUGAAUCAAAACUUUCAACAACGGAUCUCUUGGUUCUG